UUUUAUUUGAGAGUUUGAUCCUGGCUCAGGAUGAACGCUGGCGGCGUGCCUAACACAUGCAAGUUGAGCGAUUUACUUCGGUAAAGAGCGGCGGACGGGUGAGUAACGCGUGGGUAACCGACCCUGUACACACGGAUAACAUACCGAAAGGUAUGCGAAUAAGGGAUAAUAUAUUUGGGAGGCAUCUUUUAAAUAUCAAUGGUGAGCCAGGACAGGAUGGACCCGCGUCUGAUUAGUUAGUUGGUAAGGUAUCGGCUUACCAAGGCGACGAUCAGUAGCCGACCUGAGAGGGUGAUCGGCCACAUUGGAACUGAGACACGGUCCAAACUCCUACGGGAGGCAGCAGUGGGGAAUAUUGCACAAUGGGCGAAAGCCUGAUGCAGCAACGCCGCGUGAGUGAUGAAGGCCUUCGGG
rnacentral:rRNA from 1 species